rnacentral:rRNA from 1 species
UACGUAGGGCGCGAGCGUUGUCCGGAUUUAUUGGGCGUAAAGAGCUCGUAGGCGGCUCGUUGCGUCGGCUGUGAAAACCCGCAGCUCAACUGUGGGCUUGCAGCUGAUACGGGCAGACUGGAGUGCGGUAGGGGAGAUCGGAAUUCCUGGUGUAGCGGUGAAAUGCGCAGAUAUCAGGAGGAACACCGGUGGCGAAGGCGGAUCUCUGGGCCGUAACUGACGCUGAGGAGCGAAAGCAUGGGGAGCGAACAGG